rnacentral:rRNA from 1 species
UACGGGGGGGGCAAGCGUUGUUCGGAUUUACUGGGCGUAAAGGGCGCGUAGGCGGCGUGGUAAGUCACUUGUGAAAUCUCUGAGCUUAACUCAGAACGGCCAAGUGAUACUGCUGUGCUCGAGUGUGGAAGGGGCAAUCGGAAUUCCUGGUGUAGCGGUGAAAUGCGCAGAUAUCAGGAGGAACACCGAUUGCGAAGGCAGACUCGCUGGGACGUUACUGACGCUGAGACGCGAAAGCGUGGGGAGCAAACAGG